GUGGGGAAUAUUGGACAAUGGGCGAAAGCCUGAUCCAGCCAUGCCGCGUGUGUGAAGAAGGUCUUCGGAUUGUAAAGCACUUUAAGUUGGGAGGAAGGGUUGUAGAUUAAUACUCUGCAAUUUUGACGUUACCGACAGAAUAAGCACCGGCUAACUUCGUGCCAGCAGCCGCGGUAAUACGAAGGGUGCAAGCGUUAAUCGGAAUUACUGGGCGUAAAGCGCGCGUAGGUGGUUCGUUAAGUUGGAUGUGAAAGCCCCGGGCUCAACCUGGGAACUGCAUCCAAAACUGGCGAGCUAGAGUACGGUAGAGGGUGGUGGAAUUUCCUGUGUAGCGGUGAAAUGCGUAGAUAUAGGAAGGAACACCAGUGGCGAAGGCGACCACCUGGACUGAUACUGACACUGAGGUGCGAAAGCGUGGGGAGCAAACAGGAUUAGAAACCCGAGUAGUCC
rnacentral:rRNA from 1 species